rnacentral:rRNA from 1 species
AAGGCGAUGAUGCAUAGCCCGAGUUGAGAGACUGAUCGGCCACAUUGGGACUGAGACACGGCCCAAACUCCUACGGGAGGCAGCAGUAGGGAAUCUUCCACAAUGGACGCAAGUCUGAUGGAGCAACGCCGCGUGAGUGAAAGUAAGGGUUUCGGCUACGUAAAGCUCUGUUGUUGGUGAAGAAGGACAGGGGGUAGUAAACUGGCCUUUGUUUGACGGUAAUCAACUAGAAAGUCACGGCUAACUACGUGCCAGCAGCCGCGGUAAU